ACAUACGACCAUAGGUAGCGGAAAACUCGGGGUCCCGUCUGCUCCCCCAUAGAUAAGCCGCUAACCGG
rfam:Trichoderma harzianum strain T6776 Scaffolds0377.1, whole genome shotgun sequence.